rnacentral:rRNA from 1 species
GUCUGCGGCCAUACCACCCUGAAUGUGCCUGAUCUCGUCUGAUCUCGGAAGCUAAGCAGGGUCGGGCCUGGUUAGUACUUAGAUGGGAGACAAAAGCCAGCACAAUACUUACAACCAUAGACU